rnacentral:rRNA from 1 species
UACGUAGGGGGCAAGCGUUGUCCGGAUUUAUUGGGCGUAAAGAGCGUGUAGGCGGCUUCACAGGUCUGCUGUGAAAACUCGAGGCUCAACCUCGAGCUGUCGGUGGAAACCGUGGGGCUAGAGUCCGGAAGAGGAGAGUGGAAUUCCCGGUGUAGCGGUGAAAUGCGCAGAUAUCGGGAAGAACACCCGUGGCGAAGGCGGCUCUCUGGGACGGUACUGACGCUGAGACGCGAAAGCGUGGGGGAGCGAACAGG